rnacentral:rRNA from 1 species
UGCAUGGCCGUUCUUAGUUGGUGGAGUGAUUUGUCUGGUUAAUUCCGUUAACGAACGAGACCUUAACCUGCUAAAUAGUUUCAUAUAACUUCGGUUGUGUGGGUUACUUCUUAGAGGGACUUUGCGUGUUUAACGCAAGGAAGUUUGAGGCAAUAACAGGUCUGUGAUGCCCUUAGAUGUUCUGGGCUGCACGCGCGCUACACUGAUGUGUUCAUCAAGUUUUUUGACCUUGCCUGGAAAGGUUGGGCAAUCUCUGUAAAUUGCAUCGUGAUGGGGAUAGAUUAUUGUAAUUAUUAAUCUUCAACGAGGAAUUCCUAGUAAGCGUGAGUCAUCAGCUCGCGCUGAUUACGUCCCUGCCCUUUGUACACACCGCCCGUCGCUCCUACCGAUUGAGUGUUCCUGUGAAUUGUUCGAACUGCAGCAAUCAUCAGUUUCUGGAGUUUGUAGCGGAAAGUUCUGUAAAUAGGGCCACUUAGAGGAAGGAGAAGUCGUAACAAGGUUUCCGUAGGUGAACCUGCGGAAGGAUCAUUCACACGAAACUCCUACGUUCACUGUGCGUUCCUCGGAGAACGAUGUAUUUGAUGCUUCCCUGCUCAUGUGCAUUUCGCAGAUCAAUGUCAUCUGGAGGGGA